CAUACACUUUCUUAAAAGGUCCAUGGUAACCUUUGUUAGUUAUUUUCUGAUGUUAAGGCAUCGAUUAUUAAAAUAAUUUUUGCUCAGUAUAGUCCUGAAAAUACCUGAAAAUGUCAAUAUUUUUAAAAUUGAGAGAACUAGAUAUGGUGUUUUCAAAAUAUGAAGAUUCUUUAAAAGUAUGGGAAAAUCUAACUAAAAGAUGAGUUUAUUUUGAUUAAAAAUGUUUUAAAAUCCUUGUAUAGAAUAUUUUCAUAAUAUUUGUACCCUUUUAAAUAUAUAACAUAUUUAACACUCCUCCCUGUAUGAGGUGGAGCCUAAUCCACUAUUUAUUGUGAACUGAAUUAAGACUCAAUGAUUCGAUUUAGAAUAAAACCUAAAUAGACAGGGAUGAAUUUGAAAAUUGGGUCAUAAAACUCACUGUUCUCUUAUCCUUCCCUUCUAGAAUUCCUCUAGAAUUAUGGAUUCUAGAAUACUCAUAAGUAUUCAUUUGGAAGAAUACCAGGUGAGGAACUAGGAUCUCACACCAGUACAACCAGAAGCUGCAGACACCUGCCAGGAAACUGUUUGUCAUAAAAUCUACUGCAAGAGAAAAUGGAUUGCAGGUGUUAAUAAUGUGUUUGUGAUGAGGCUCUUCUGAAAGACUGUAAGGUCUCACUGGCGUUAACCUAUCCGGAAGGUGCACGCGUGCAACUGGUGCCAUGACUUGGAUCGCUGCGACGUGGAAAGAAGGAAGAAAAAAAUCCAAUCUGGACCCCAGAAAGACGGACAAGAACAAUAGAAUGGCAAGAUGAUCGUGAUCCUACUCCUACUAGUAACGACGCCACUGUCACCGACGAUGGCCAAGCCGGAUGAGUAUUGGGGUCUCUUGAGAGCCCUACCUCUCCCUCUACCUGUUUCUAAUUCUUCUAACCUUCUGCCAGUUGUGUAUUUGCAUAACUCUACCAUAGAUGAAAGAUUCGGAGUGCCUUACAACAGUCUUGUCAAUUCUUCCCAUCAGGGUCAGGUUAACUUAUCCAUCCACCUUUUGGGAGCACUAUGCUUCCACACGCCUAAGUUUGGCACAGAUCUUUGUGGUUAUAAUCAUACCAGCUUUCCUACGCCAUGUAUUAAUUUGGCCACUUAUUCCAUGGGAGAUGUUAUCAACUGGAAUAAGUCAGGUAGUUCUUACAUAGCCAAUAUUACAGGGGAACUUAUAGCCUUUCGAUCUGAGUCGCUACCUCUCAGGUGCCAGGACAGGAGUUAUUUCCUCAUGUGUUAAAGGAAAAUUAAAUGAAGCGGAAACACUGGUGGCUGUGCGGAUUCCUAUUUGGGUUCCUGUACCAGUUGCGGCGUCUGAGAAGGACUUCUCUCUGGCUGUUCGACACAGGAGAGACUUUGGAGUCACCGCAGUUGUCGUUGCAGUAAUUGCGGUGUUAUCAGCUGGUGCAGCCGCUAUUGGCAUGGCCGUGAGCCAAACCUCCACACUGUCCACACUUGAUAGCAUCACAAGAUCUACCGCCCAGGCACUUGAUGAUAUACUGCUAUUCAGCUGUUAACUCAACGAACGGAUUUAUUGCAAGAUCAGACCUGGUUGGCAUACCCUGUGUUAUUCGAUCUACUGCAGUUUGUGUUACCGCCUACCCCUACAACCACUUUUCAUUUGCCGCUAAUCAGUCCCAUCUUUUGGGUAGCAUGUUAAAUGGUAGUUGGAAUAAAACAAUGGGCCGCUAUUAUAGGGUUGGCUCUUGUGCUUAUAACAGGAUCAAUUAUUGCUCGGAUCUUGCAAGGGCUGUUCAGGCAUCAGCGUAAUACGCAAAUGGUGGUUAAACAAGCCAUGCUAACAUUCAAUAACCAGUACCCCAUGCAAAAUGGACAGAUUCAGGUGUGGCUGAAUCUGCUGGACUGGUAGUCAAAGACGGGUAAAUUCUGAGAGGUCUUCAAGGCAACCAAACAGGGCAUGAACGCUUCCUCCACACCUCAUGUUUAUGUGCCAAUGACGGGUAAGCCCAAUAGAUGCUCUUGGUCACCUAAGACAGGCACGGUACCACUCCAUUUUGCAAAGAAAUAAGGGGGAGAUGUUGGGGAAUGGGACAGCCUGGCCAGCUGUGCCCCUCCCAACAUGUACAAGCACGAGAAAUUUAGUGCUGGGCUUUUUCCACCCUGUCCAUUGCUAACCGCAGGAUUCUGUUUUGACUUUAAGCAUCCUGUUAUUGCAUGUUUCCCACAUUUACUAAGUUUUGUUUCUUGCUGAUUUGGUAACAUGUUUUCCGCAUAUCAUAUAUAAACAGGUGGACGGUGGGAGGGAGAUAUAUAAGAGGGCUGGAGGAGGCGAAGACGGUGGGCGUACACGAGAUGUAACCCGAGUCUGCUGAAAAAUAAAGUGGAAGCUGAAAAGCUGAUAAACGCGUCUGGUGUCUCCGAGGUCUCGCUGGCAUUAACCUAUCCAGAAGGUGCACGCCCACACUCUGCCAUUUGGGGCAAUGGGACUCGUUGGGCUUUUAAUAUUCCCUGGCUUUUCCGCAUCUCAACUUGUCCUGAUAAAAUUUUUUUCCUGAACAUUUGUUUUUUUCACAACUCAUGAACAAUAUUUUCCAAAAUUAUUUAAAAUUAAAAUAUAAUUUACACAUAAAGGUGUUUUUGCUUUGGGAUUAAUCACAUUUCUUUUUUUUUUUUUUGGUAUUGGUGUUAUGGUAUUUAGGAAAUAAAAAUGAAAAAAUAAAUAAAAAACCAUUUUAAAAUUGUAAUGAAGAAGACAAUUACAUGUAACUUAACAGGAUGCUAGCCAAUCACUUAAAAAAUAUACUCUUUUCCACAAAAUAGCAUACUGGCAAAAUCAACAAACCAAUUCUAAUUUUUGUAUGAGAGGUGAAUGACCAAACUAGCUUAAAACAGUGAGGGAGAGGAAAAACAUUAGAGGGUUACUGCUAUACAACACAAGGCAAUAUGGGAUUGGAUUAGUGAAAGAACAGACAAAUAGAUCAGUGGGACAAAACAAAAAGCCCAGAGUGAGAUCCAUAUAACAUAUAGUCAAUGAAUCUUUGAUAAUAAAACAAAGACAAUACAACAGAUCAACAACAGUCUUUUCAACAAUCUUGAUUGGACAAAUACACAACCAUAUGAGAAAAGAAGAAUCUAGACAGAGAUGAUAUACUCUUCACAAAAAUUAACUUAAAAGAGAUCACAGACUUAAACAUAGAAAAAAAAAACUGUAAAAUUCCUUAAAGUUAAUAUUGAAGAAAAUUUAGAUGACAUUGCAUUUGUGAUUACUUCUUACAUAUAUCAGUAAAGGUACAACCCAUGAAAGGAAGAGCUGAUGAAAUAUACUUCUUUAAAAUUAAAAAAAACUGAAGCUGGUGCUAUGGUGUAGUGGAUUAAAGCCGCUUUCUACAGUGCCUGCACCCCAUAAGGGCUCCUGUUUGAGGCCCGGUUGCUCCACUUCUGAUCCAGCUCCCUGAUAAUGCACCUGGGAAAGCAAUGGAAAAUGAUCCAAGUGUUUGGGUCCCUGCAGCCACAUGGGAGACCUGGAUGAAGACCCUGGUUCCUGACUUUGGAUCAACCCAGCUCCAACCACUGCAGUUCACUGGAAGUGAACCAGCAGAUGGAAAUAAAUCUUUUUAAAAAAUUAAAAUGUUCUGUAAAAGACAGUAUCUAAAGAAUGACAAGUCAAAAUCUAGAAAUAAUUUCCAAAGAUAUAUCUAUUAAAGAAUUGGUAUCCAAAACAUACAAAUAAUUCUUUUUUAAAAGAUUUAUUUAUUUAUUUGAAAGACAGAGUUACAGAGAAGGAGGAGCAGAGGCAGAGAGAGAGAUAUUCCAUCUGCUGGUUCACUCCCCAAAUGGCUGCAAUGGCUGGAGCUGGGCCAGGCCAAAGCCAGGAGCCAGGAGCUUCGUGUGGGUCUUUCAUAUAGGUGCAGGGGCUCAAGGACUUGGCCCAUACUCUGCUGGUUUCCCAGGCACAUUUACAGGAGCGGCAUAGGAAGUGGAGCUGCCAGGACUCAAUCCGGCUCCCAUAUGGGAUGCCGGUGCUGCAGGCUGUGGGUGGCUUUACCUGCUAUGCCAUAGCACCAGCCCCACAAAUAAUUCUUAAUAGUCAUCAAUAAGAAACAAAAUCCCAAUUCAAAAACAGAUCAAAUAUUAUAAUAGACAUCUCAGGGAAGAAGAUACACAGAUGGCAAAUAAGCAAAUGAAAAGCUUACCCACUUAAUUAGUUAUUAGAGAAAUACAAAUUAAAACAAAAUAAGAUAAUAUCAUACAUCUAUUAAAAUGGCCAAAAUCUAAACCAGUAAAUGUUGCUGAGCAUGUAGAGCAACAGGAACUCUCGUCUGUUGCUGGUGGAAAUGAAAAAUGGUACAGCUACUUUGGAAGAUAAUUUGGAACUUGCCAACAGAACAACAGAUUAUUAGCAGUUUGACCAAUCCACCAUGCUCUUUUGUAUCUACCCAAAGCCGUUGAAAACAUAUUUCUACAUAAAAACCUGCACCUGGAUGGUAAAGUAUCUUUAUUUACAGUUACCAAAAUGUGUAAGAGCCUACGAUAUCAGUCAAUAGUGAAUGGAUAAAGUGUAGACAUUUGAAUAUUAUUCAGCACUAAAAAGACUUGAGUUCUCUACCCAUAAAGACAUGGAGAAAGCUUAAAUGCAUAUUACUAAAUAAAGGAAGAAAAUCUGUGAUAAUUUCAAAUAUAUGACAUUCUGCAAAAGGUAAAAUUAUGGAGACAAUAAAAAGGUCAGUGGUUUCUGUCUGUUAAAGGAAAGAAAGAAAUUGAAUAGGUGGAUAAUGGGAUUUUUAGUGCAAUUAAAUUAUUCCAUAUUUAUUAUAGUUGUGAAUAUCUGUCAUUAAAAGUCUGUCAAAACUCACAGCAAGUACAGCACUAACAGUGAAGCCCCAUGCACAAUAUGGGCAUUGGGCAAUAUGAGGUACUAAUGUAAGUUCAUUAUUUGUAACAAAUAUGCCCCUCUGGAAAGAGGAAUAUUGAUAACAGAGGAGGUUAUGUAAGUGUAGAAACAGAGAUUAUAUGUGAAAUCUCUGUGCCUUUCCCCAUAGUACUAAUCUAAAACUGCUGUGAAGUGGAAUCUAUUAAGUAAAAAUAUUCUUGAUUUCAAUAAUUUUGUUUGAAGGAGUUGCUACUAUUUAUAUUAGAAAGAAUGUAUGCUUCAUUUAGACCUAUUUGGAUUCAAAAUCUUUUUCAAUUUCUCACUAACUUAGUGAACUUGAACAAAUUGUGUAGUUUCUCUAAACUCAUUUGGAUAAACUGUGAAGAAUCAUACCCACCUCAUGAUAUGGAAACUGCCUUGGAUGUUAUGCUUUUUAAAAUAAAUAGUAACACCUCCACUAGCAUAUUUAAGUUGCUUUUGUCUUUGAAAUCUGUCAUUGGAAAAUAACUCUUACAUCAUUAACAACAUUUCCCCAAAUGAUGGAAUUCUGUUUUAUUCUUUUUUAUCUAAAAAUAUAAAAUGUUUUCAGCAUUGCAAGGGAAAAAAAUUGUGCAAGAGGAUUUCUAUUUGAAAGGUGGAGCUCAUCCAUAGAAACCACUUUAGAGGCAGAACAUUCAUACCAUAAGAAAGAAAAUGCCAUUCAACUCAAACAAAUGUAACUCUUCUUUAAAGGAAAUUAAUCAUUUCAUCUCAAAAAGAUUCACAAUAAAAAACAUAAAACAACAAUUCUCAUUUGUUCCAAGUCCCUAACCUGCUUACUACGUUUCCAUUUUCCCUUGGAAACGUUCUGAAGUAUUCCAAGGAUUUGUUUAGUAUUUAGCAUUACAUUUAAGAUUACUUUACAAAUAAAUUUUAAAAAUGAACAAAUUUCUAAGCUUGCCAAAAUUGUUAAAUAUGAUUUACUAUUGAUAAAUGGAGCAUGAGGACAUUCAUAAUAGCUUAAUUCUGGACAGUGUUGAAAGAUUUUGGCAAUUUUUUCAUCCUUAAGGUACAUUUUAGUAACUUGUUUUUUUACAUAGAUGUAAAAAAUACAUUUCUACCUAAUGUGCAUAAGUUAUAAGAAUAACAGUACCAAUUUAUUAAAAUGUAUGGACCCAUUUGUCCAUCGCCUAGUUAAAAACAUAUUGCUAAAACCUUAAAAACCCUACCAUAUUCUCCUCCAAUCCCAACUCCCUUCUUGAUCCGCAUAGGUAAUAAUUAUCCUGUGUUCUAACACCACAAAAACCAUUUUGUCUGUAUUAAAACUUUAUAUAAAUAGAAUCACAUAUGUUCCAUAAUGAUUACUUUAUCUUGCUCAGUUUUACGUUUUUACAUACAUUCAUUUUAGUGAGUGAAUCUUUAGUUUCUUCAUUAUUAAAACAAAGCACCUGCAACUGCAGAUAAUUUUAUGGAAGCCCACAAAAAAUACCUUAACAUUAAAGAAUGAAUUUACUGUAGCUCUGUUGUACAGUGCAGCAACCAACAACCAAAAAUAUUACUGACCAGACAAAUGAACUGAAUUGGGAACACAGCAAGGCCAAUCACCCCUGCAUUCCUGAAAAUGAUUAUGGCAAUACACUUUUCCUCAGAUGCAAUAAUUAUUUUGAAUUUAAAUAUUGUACAGGAAAGUACAGAUCACGCAAAAGACUCCCAAUUAGCUACUGCUCCAUAGGAUCCACGUAAGGCUUUGAGAAUGCCCAUUUAUAUCUAAUCCAAUUAUGUAAUUAAACCUCACAAAUAAGAAUAUAACCUAGGAUUAUUCAAGACUAUCCGGAGUUAUUAGGUCCCAUCUUUUAUUUACACUCAGUCAUUGUGGGACCCAUACUGAAGAUCACGAUGUCAUUAGUAUAAACUUAAAAUGCCAUUGCUUGCAAAGGACCUUUGAAAAAAUUCAGUAAUGCUCACAUAUUUGCUUCAGUUGAGCUACUAGUCCAUGGUCUACAUAGAAAGGGAAGUGUGCUGUCUCUCCCAGACACUGCCUCACACAACAUUAGGAUUGCAAUUUAUCAACUUAGUAUAUUCAGUGCUGCAGUCCACAUCCAACAGCCACAUCUACUUCUUUAAGAACUCUAUAAAUUUAAAUCCAUUAAAUGUGGCUACCCAGCAACCCAGUUCUCAUGGUAAUCAUUGGCUCCACUGAUCUGAUGCAGCUACUACUGUGUUGGUCCUUGCUUUGCCCUUCAACUUCAUCUCCUUUCAACAAAUCAAAGCUGAAAUCUAUUGAUUAUGUUGUCACCCAUGUGGGUGUUUAUCACCAAUAAUAAUUCCCCUAUGCCUUCAGACAUUUGACAAGCAGGUUCCACAAUUCUUUUAGAACAUUCUGAUUUCUAUGACCCUCCUUAAACAAUGGUCUUACCUCAACUUUUCUGCAAAACAGGGCUGCAGAUAAAGGUUAUGUACUCAUCCACCAUAGCUAGUGAGACAAUGGGUUUCUGAGGUCAUGAUUCCAAAGAAAACAUGUACAUCACCAGAGUGACCUUAUGGACCUACCACAGUUUGAAACUGUGCAUUAUCACUAAAAAAUAACUUAUUGUUCAGCUAUCUUUCCCUCCAAUCUCUUAUUGGCCAAAGCUUAUUAGUCCAUGAGAAUAAAAUGUACUGUUCAGAUAGCACGUGUUCUAAAUGUCAUCUUUUCAAUCACUGGGAAAGCCAGAGCUUCCAUUACUAGACACAUGAAACAGUGAAAAGCCAAAUCAAACAGAUUUUUUACUAAAGAAAAAAGCAAUCAAUCAUAUAUAAGGAUCCUUAAUCAAAUGAACAGAUUAUCUCUUAUCAAAAAUCAGGGACACCAGAGGCAGAGAGAUACAAUAUUCAGAAUUCAAAUAUAUAUAUUUGAACAUGUAUAUACAUAUAUAUUUGAAUAUAUAUAAAUACAUAUAGUUAAGUUGACAACUGUGAUAUUGCUGUAAAUGCCAAAGUUACAAAGGAGAAAAGCAUCAAGUUACCACGCUUACCACCCAGCUUAAGAAUCUUGAAAGGGAAGAGCAAUUCAAUUGUAGGCAAGAAGAAAGAAGAAGAAAUAAAACAACGGACAAAAUAAAUGAAAUAAACAGAAAAGCCAAUGAAACUAUUGUUGGUUCUUUGAAAAGAUCAAUAUAACUGGUAACCUUUUUCUGGAAUGACCAAAUAAAACUGAAAAUUGAACUUACUCAAAUGCGAAUGGAAAAGUGAGGGCCAUAACAGAACUUCACAGUUUUCCUCUCUUCACUCUUAGAAAUGUUCGCUUUCUUCAAGAUCUAUAAAGGAUUUUAAGAGAGUAAUAUGAACAAUUGCAUUAUGUAAAUUGGACAACAUUUAUUACAUAGACAAUUCUCUAAAAAGACACAAGCUAUUGAAAUGACUAAAUAAUAAAUAAAAAUAUUUUCCUAUAACAAGUUUUUUUUUUAGUUUUCUGUGACUGUCAAACAAUAAGCAAGAAGCCACAAAUUAAGUGACAUGAAACAGCAGAAUCUCUCUUCUAGUUCUGGUAGAAGUUCAAAUCAGGCAGUUAGCAAGGAUGGACAUCCUCUAAAGGCCCUAAUGUAGAUACUGUCCUUGCUUGUUCCACCUUUGGGUGGUCCAAGCACUUUUUUUGGCUGCAUCCUGCAAAUCUUAUUAUCUGUCUUUAUAUUGUUUCACUUUUCUCUCUCUGUUGUGGGUCUUUUAAAAGGAGCAUUAAAAUGGCUAAAAUCAUAACAAUACAAUAACUAAUGUUGGUGAUGAUAUGGAGGAAUUAUAAGUUUCAUGUAUUUCUGGUUGGAAUAUAAAAUGAAAUGGCUCCUUCAGAAAAUUUAUGCUAAUGAUACUGAAAGAACAGAAACUUAAUGCAAUUACUGUUUUUGGACUAGAGCCUUUGGGAAAAGAUUAGAUCAGAUUAGGUCAUUAGGGAGGAACUCUCGUGAUUGAAUCACGGUGACUAUAAGCAACAGAGAGACAGAGGGACCAUACACAUCUGUACACACACAGUCCCUGUGUUGCCCUAUGAUGCCCUGUGCUGCCUCAAGACUCUAGCAGCAAGAAGGUUAUCCUCAGAUAUGUUCCCUGGUAAUAAAAUGCUAUAUUUAGCUUAAAUUUUCUCAUUGUUUCUCAGUAUGAGUUUGCAUUUCCAGCAGCAGAAACCAACCUAUUUCUUUUGUAACAUUGUGCUAUUUUUAUUUGCUAUCUGUAAUGUAUCCUACAUACUUGAAUGCUUUACCUUCCUGUAGUUUGCAGUUCUCCAUCAGGCAAUAUAUAUAUUUAUGUAGGUUACAUGUAUUAAAUAAGUUGUUGAAAUAUUAAUUUCACUGAUACAGUAGAACACAUCUCAUAAGCAAUGUUUAUUCAUGAUUAUUUUCAAAUUUAGACAAAUGUGAGACCAAAACAAUGACUAAAAGCAAAACCAACAAAACAAAAUGUAUUUUUUUACUAUAGAGUAAAUCAAAUGAUUUUACCUAGAAAAUUAGUUGGCAUGAGGACAUGUUAGGUUACAAAUAUUUUAAAAUGAUAAUGUUGACAGUAUGAUUACCAAUGCUAUCCUUUUAUUUCUAUAAACCAAUGAUAAGAAAUUCUAGUUUCCUUUACAUAUAGGAAGACUACACGGAAUGUGAUAGUUUGGAAGACAGAGAAGACAAAAUAAAGAUGCCCUCUACUCUCUUCCUUGUACCCAAAGAAGAACCAAAGUCACUGGUGGAUAACUGCAUUUUGAGGCAAGUAUCUGAGGCAGAUGACCAAAAUUCUGCAAGAGACAGACUGAAAAUGCCUGGGCUUGGAUGGCAACAUGGAAAGAGGAGCAAAGUAUAUCAGGCAAAACUCCAGCUCCCUAGCUGAGGAGACAUCUCAGUGCAGGGGAAAGGAGAAUAGGAAAGUCUCAACAGACCCAAUCAUGAUGAAUAGCAGUGUACGUAGCCAUGUGACAGCUUCAAUGUUGUCACAGCCUUGCAGAUUCAUCCUGGUUGUGGAAGCUGCCUGGAGUCCACAUAAUAGCUUUUUUUCAAAUAACGAACACACACUAACUCACCACAAACCCCAGAACCCAAGUUCUAUAUCUUCACACCACCUUGAGAUACUGUCUGCAUUUAUAUUGCAGUAUGGGCCAGAGGUCUCUGCAUGACCCCAUACUUGGGCCUGGACAGACACUCCAUCAAAUUAGCAUAGGGAACUGCAAUCCCACAAUUUCAAUUUGAUCCAGUAGAAUUUGUCUUCGGAGGAAUGCUAUCCUCAGGUCCUGGGACUCCAAGGCUCUUGUCUCCUGAGACCAAAGAUCUGCCUCUUCAUCUCAAUACUGCUAUUUCUUACGGAUGGCUACCCACUGGAUGGGGGUGAUGCUGAGAUUUAUAGUAGUGUCACAAUACUUCGCACCACCCCCUUCCCAAUCCACCUCCCUGCCAAGAGUCAGCUACAACUGGACUCAGGGACCACUGAGAUUUCAUGUAUGUGCACUCUAGGCAGCCACCUCUACCUAUCUGAUCAGCUUGAUUUCAGCCAAUACUGCUGGGAACUGACAGCAGGUGUUACAUUCUCCCGCACCUGUCGUCUGUCAACUCACCACUUUUCAGCUGACUCUGCCAGGGACUGAAAACAGAUGCUGAGAGAAAGUGUUAAAAUCUCCCGCACCUCUUCACCUUCGACAAGCCUUGCCUGAUGCUCGUGGGGACUGAGAGUGGGUGUGUAGAGUGAGUGCUACACACCAGCCUGAUUCCUUCCUGUUCAGCUGAUCGUUGGCCUGUGCUGUUCCUGGACCUGAAGAGGGGAACUAUGCUCAACUUACAACCCUUUACAUUUCCUGGCCAAUCACUCCCGUACUCACACAGCUCUUGGAAAUGAAGGUCAGUACUAUGAGAAAGUGUGAGAGAAAAGUGAUAAGUCCCUAUUCAGAAAAUUUUCAUUAUAAUAACAGCAGGUUUCUUAUCAGAAUCCUUACAGACCAGUAGGAAAUGGAGUGAUAUAUUCCAAGUUAUAGCUACACUAACUCAGCUGCUGUGGGAUAUGAAAACAACAAAGGAAGGACUGCCUUUCCAGGCAUCUGACUGACAAAUUUUCAGCAAAAUAAUGAAAACAACAACAAUGGAGACUCCAUGGGACAAAAGGAGAGAAAACAGACACUGCUGCAGCCACAUGGCGUAGCCAGCUGCCGGCUGUGAGCCGCCAUCUUGCCAGGUUAAGGUAGGAAGAAAUUGCUGCAUGUCCCGCUGCUCCCAGUUUUAGCUGAGAAGGAAUUUCAGUCACCCAUUGACUUUUACCUCUGCCUGGGGAGCUGACUGCAGUCUAAACAACUGCUGGGCUUGGAGCAGGGUAGAAUGGUUGCUUUCCUUUCCUCCCCUCCCUGACCCGCACAGAGCACCACACUCGGCAGUGAAAAGCCAGGCAAUGUCCUGAUUCUCCUACCAGCAUUGUAGUCAGAAUCAGGGCAUUGUGCGGGGCAAAGGACAGAUCCCCUGCAUCCUUCAACUUUGGGAGUUUCUGGGCUUUAGCUACAGAGCUAUGCUCACACACUCAACAUGAGCUAGGUGAUUCUCCUAUGCUGCUGGAGGCUAACACAAGAAGCAGCUCAUAAAAAAAUCCACUCCCACCCUUGUUGAUCUGGGUAGUGAACCCAAUAUACCCUGCAACACCAUGACCACAGCAAUUCGUUUUAAAUUACUAGGUGCCACUGAAAUCUACUUGGUGACAUAGGGAAGAAGUCACCCUGUAGGACUGCAACAGGGUCCAUUUCACAUCCUAUAUUCCUAGGGCUAGGGCUGUUUGUAUUGUAAACCAUCGCACCAGUUGGAAUCUCCUAGUAGGACAUGAGGAAGGCUGCAUUUGUAUCACCCAGUCCUAGAGCCACAGAAGUUGGUGCCUCAAGCCCUGGAAUCACUGAGACUCCCAGUAGGACAAGGGGGCAGCCACCCUUGUCUCCCUCAGCACCAAGAACAAGACCCCGGCUAUCACAUUCACCAGGGAGACUCACAUAGAACUCUCUGUGGGCCAAAGAUACACAACCAAGGAAACCUCUUAAAAUCUCAAAGUCACACUUGUAUACCUACAAUCUGUAGCAAACUAGUCCACUGUGUCAGUUAUAGACACAGCUGACAUUUAUUAAGACAAAACAAAUCACCCAGAGACUACACUCUUCGGCUCACUUAGAGCCAAAGCCAAAGCAGCAAAACAAGUGAUAGCCUGCAUUCCAGCUAAACCAUAAACUCUAUUCCAAUAAAACCUACUGCACAAAGAUGGUGCAAGUACACCAGGUGGGCAAUGCCAAUAUAGGGAUACAGGAGGCAUGAAGAAGCAAGAUAGUAUGAUGCUUCCAAAAGAACACAGCCAUCCUCCAGAAUUAGAUUCUGAACUGAAGGAAAUCUAGGAAAUGAUAGACAUAGAAUUCAGAAUAAUGAUUGUAAGGAAACUCAAUAAGAUGCAAGAAAAUAAAGAUAGAUUAAAACAUUGAGGAAAUCAACAAGUGACAUGAAUGAAAAUAUUACUAAGGAGAUAACUCAUUAAAAAGCACCAAAUAGAAAUUUUGGAGAUGAGAUAUUUAAUCACUGAAAUAAAAAAAAAAGAAUAGACCAAGUGGAAGAAAGUUUCUGACCUCAAGAAAAAAAUUUUGAAACGAUUAAGUCAGACAAAAACAAAGAGAAAAGAAUUGAAAAGAAAGAAGAAAGUCUAACUGAAAUAUAGGAUACCAUUAAAUGACCAAAUAUUAGUAUUACAGAAAUUCUUAAAGGAGAAGAAAAGAAAAAGGCAUUGAGAACCUGUUAAAUGAAAUAAUAGUUGAAAAUUUCCAAGGUCCUGAAUGAGACCAUCUAGGUAGUGAACCAGUGGAUGGAAGACCUCUCUCUCUGCCUCUAGCUCUCUCUAUAACUCUUAAAAAAAGAAGUAAACAUGAAACACAUGUAACCACCAAAUUCACUGACAGAGAAUCAUUACCCACUAAACAAAAUGACAGGUCUUAGUUCUUAUCUAGCAAUACCAACCUUGAAUAUAAAUGGCUUAAAUUCACCAACAAAAAGACUUACAUUGGCUGAAUGGAUUAACAAACCAUGACCCCACUAUAGGCUGCCUAAAAGAAACUCACUUUAUAAACACACAGACUGAAAGUGAAGAGUUGGAAUAAGAUAUACUAGGGAAAUGGAAACCAAAAGCAACCAGGUGUAAAUAUCCUGUUAUGAGAUGAAAUAUACUUUAAAUCAAAACUUUAAAAAGAAAUAAAGUGCACUAUGUAUUGAUAAAAGGUUCUAUUCAGUAAGAAGACAUAACAAUCAUAAAUAUAUAUGCACCAAAGCAAGAAAAUACCCAGAUAUAUACAGCAAAUACUAUUGGACCUAAAGGAAUAUAUAGACUCUAAUGUAAUAGUAGUGGGUGACUUCAAAACACCUCUCUCAUCAAUGGACAGGUCAUCUAGACAGUAAAUCAAUAGAGAUACAUCAGAGUUGAAACAUAACAUUGAACAAAUGGAUCUAAAGACAUAUACAAUACAUUUCGUCCAGUGGCUACAGAAUACACAUUCUUCUCAUCAGUACAUGGAAAAUUUUCUAGGGUAGACUACAUAUUAGGUUACAAGUGAAGUCUAAGCAAAUUAAAAAUGACUGAACUCAUACCAUGUAUCUUCUCAAACCAUAAGGGAAUAAAACUAGAAAGCAAAGACAAGAGGAAGAAUAGAACAAUCAUAAAUACCUGUAAAUUAAACAAUAUGCUACAAUUAAACAAUAUGCUAUGUGAGAGACAGAGAGACAGAGAGAAAGGUCUUCCUUUUCCGUUGGUUCACCCCCCAGUGGCCGCUGCAGCCGGCGCACCAUGCUGAUCCGAAGCCAGGAGCCAGGUGUUUCCUCCUGGUCUCCCAUGCGGGUGCAGGGCCCAAGCACUUGGGCCAUCCUCCACUGCAAUCACAGGCCACAGCAGAGAGCUGGACUGGAAGAGGGGCAACCGGGACAGAAUCCAGCGCCCUGACCGGGACUAGAACCCGGUGUGCUGGCACCGCAAGCAUAGGAUUAGCCUAUUAAGCCGUGGUGUGGACAGAUCUAUAUCCUUAAUGAACAUAGAUGUAAAGAUUCUCAUCAAAAUAAUGGCAAAUCAAAUCCAAAACACAUCUAAAAUAUCAUGCACCAUGAUCAAGUGGAAUUUAUCCCAGCAAUGCAAGGGUGAUUCAAUAUUCACAAAUCAAUAAAUGUCAUAAAUCACAUCAAUAAAAUGAAAAUCUAAAACCAUAUGGGGGGGGGGGGCUGGUGCAGUGGUGCAGUAGGUUAAGGCCCCAGCUUGCAGUGCCGACAUCCCAUAUGGGCAGCAGUUUGAAUCCCAGUUGCUCCUCUUCUGAUCCAGCUCUGUGCUUUGGCCUGAGAAAGAUGGUUUAACCCCUUGGGCCCCUGCGCGCACAUGGGAGACCCGGAGGAGGUUCCUCACUUUGAAUCAGCUCAGCUCUGGCCAUUGCGGUCAUUUGGCGAGUGAACCAGUGAAAUGGUUCACUCUGACUUCUACCUCUCUGACUCUACCUCUCUCUGUAACUCUCUCUUUCAAAUAAAUAAAAUAAAUCUAAAAAAAAAAUAUGGUCUUCUCAAUGGAUGCAGUGAAAGCAUUUGAUAAGAUUCAUCACCCUUUCAUGAUGAAAACUCUACAGAAAUUAGGUACAGAAGGAUCAUUCCUCAAAAUUAUAAAAGCUAUAUAUAAAAAAUCAACAUCCAAUAUCAUACUGAAUGGGGAAAAGCUAAAAGGACGUCCCCUCAGAUCUGGAACAAGACAAAGAUGUCCAAUUUUGCCACUCUUAUUCAAUAUAAUACUGAAAGUUUUAGUGAGAGCAAUUAAGGAGGUGAAAGAAAUAAAGGGCAUCAAAUUGGAAAGGACAAAGUCAAAUUAUUCAUAUACACAGACCACAUGAUAUUGUACAAGAAAAAACAAUGUGGAGAUUUCUUCAAAAACUAGAAAUAGACUUGCUUUAUAAUCCAGUAAUCCCACAACUGCACCACCAUGUUCACAGCAGCCACUGUGGAAAAUCUCUACAGGAGAUUUCUUAAAUAACUGGAAAUAGGCUUGCCAUAUGAUCCAGCAGUCUCUCUACUGGGUAUGUAGCCAAAAGACUUGAACACAACAUAUCAAAGUGUUAUCUGUAACACCAUGUUUAUAGCAGCACUGUUCACAAUAGCCAAAAUUUAGAACUAAUCAAGGUUUCCAUCAUUAUAUGAAUAAAGAAAAUGUGGUAGAUAUACAAAAUGGAAUACUAAUCAGCUAUACAAACGAAUGAAAUUCUACCAUUUGCAGCAAAAUGGAUACAACUUAAGGACAUCAUAUUGACUGAAAUAUGCCAGACCCAGAAAGACAAAUACUGCAUGUUCUCCCUUACAUGUGGAACUAAAAAAAGAAGAAAAAAAUAAUAAAUGUCUCUGUGUAUCAGUGAUGCUGAAAAUAUAGCUUGUAAAUCUUUGUUUUAUACCUUUGUGAAAACAAUAGUUAAGAAUGUCUACUACUAUAAUUUUAAUGAUCUGUGAUUACUUUAAAAUUUACUAUAUAUGGGUGAAAUGGUCAUUUUUUAUCCAAUUAUUGUUUAUGGCCAUUGUCUAUAUUUCCAUUAAACUAAGGGCUUCUUGCUUUUUGUUAAAUUUAUUUUUUAAAUAUUUAUUUAUUGAUUUGAAAGAGUUACAGAGACAGAAGGGGAAAUAGUGAGAGAAAGAGAGAUCUGCCUUCCAUUGGUUCACUUUCCAAAUGGCUGCAACUGCUGGGGCUGGACCAGGCUGAAGCCAGGAGUCAGGAGACUCUUUUGAAUCUCCCACAUGGGUGCAGGAGCCCAAGCAUUUGGGCCAUCUUCCACUGCUUUCCCAGGCACAUUAGCAGGGAGCUGUAGCAGAAGUGGAGCAGCCAGGACUCAAAUUGAUAUCCAUAUGGGAUGCAGGCACUGCAGGUGUCAUCUUAACCCUGUACACCACAAUGCCAGACCAAUUGUUAAACUUCUUAUUAGGUGAAAUAUUAAGCCUUUUACUGUAAUGUAAAUUUUUAAUAUAUUAUCUCAAAAACUAAAAAACAAAGAAAAGGAAGGAGGGUGGGAGAGGGAGAGGGGGAGGGAGGAAGGAAGGGAAUACCAUUGUGUUCUUAGAAUUUUUUCUACAAAGCACAUAGAAUCUGUUGAAACUAAUUAAAAUUAAAAAAAAAAUCUGAAAGAAGACUAUUUCAUCCAGUGAAGCUAUUUUCAUAAAGGAAAAUAUAGAUAUUCCAAAACAAGCAAAAACUGAAGGAAUUCAUCACCAUAAGAAUAGCCUUAUAAAAGAUGCUGAAGUGAGUCCUAGAGACAAAAAACAAGGAUAAUUACCAUCAGGAAAAGAAGCAGAAGCAUAAAACACACUGCAAAAAGAGCAAAGGAUAUUCAAAAUAAUGACAAGAAAUUUUCAAAUGAUUGGACUAAGUCAUUAUUUAAAAAUAAUAACUUUGAAUGUAAAUGAACUAAAUUAUCCAAUAAAAGAUAUAGAUUCACUGAAUAAAUAAACAAGAGCAAACAAUAUGCUGGCUACAUGGAAUUCACUUCACCAUUAAAGACAUAGACAGAAAGGGAAAUAGUCAUAAAAAGUACUCUAUGCAAACAGAAAUCAAAUAUGAGUAGAAGCAACUGCAGUUACAUCAGACAAAAUAAACAUUACAAAAAUCUCAUGAUUAAGGUAAAUAUUUUUUGAAUUUUACAUCAAAAGCAUAAGCAAUAAAAGCAGAAACAGUCUAAUGGGAGUAUAUCAAACUCACAAGCUCCUGUUCUGAAAAGAAAAAAUGAAGGACUGAACAGAAAACAUAUAGAAUGGGAGAAAAUAUUUGCAAACUCUUCAUCUGACAAAAGAGUAAUAUCUAGGACAAAUAAGAAACGCAAAAAACUUGACAACAGUAAAACAAUCCAGGUAAGCCAUUAGCAAAUAAGCUAAGAAAACAGUUCUCAAAAGAAGAAAUACAAAAGGGUCAACAAGUACAUGAAAAAAAAUCUCAGUAUCACCACCUAUCAGGGAAAUGCAAUUCAAAAUCACAAUGAAAUAUCAUUUCACUCAAAUUAAUGUCUAUUAUCAAAAAGACAGAAAAUAACAAAUUCCAAUGAAGAUUUAAGAAAAAUGGAACCCUUAUGUCAUGUUGUUGGGAAUCCAAAUUAGUAUAGCCCUCAUGAAACUGUAUGGCUAAUUCCUCAAACAGCUAAAAACAGAUCCACCCUGUGACAGAGGUUUCCAAUUUUUGAAGGAAAUGAAGUCAGCAUAUGAAAGCCAUAGUCCCAACUUCCAUGUUCUUUGCAACACUUUUCAUAACAGCCAACAUACAGAAUCAACAUAGGUGUCCAUCAAUUAAUGGACAAAUAAUAUAUGACAAACAUUAGCAAUGGAAUAUCAUUCAGUCAUGAACAAAAAUGAAAUCAUGACAUUAGCCAAAAAUUGCAUUAAACUAAAUUAUAAUAAGCAAAAUAAACCAGUCAAUGGAGAGAUAAAUACUAUAUAUUCAUAUUCAUCUAUGCAAUUUAAAAGUAGUAUAUAUGAAUUGAAAACAGUGAUUACUAGAAGUUGGGUUAUGAUGUAUGCAUGUGUUGAAAUAUUACCCUGUACCCAU